CAUCAAGACCAGGAAGGAAGUACAGUCAUCAAGACCAGGAAGGAAUACAGUCGUCAAGACCAGGAAGGAAGUACAGUCAUCAAGACCAGGAAGGAAUACAGUCGUCAAGGCUAGGAAGGAAUACAGUCAUCAACAACACCAGGAAGGAAAUAUAGCCAUCAAAACCAGGAAGGAAUGCAGUCUUUCAAGGCCAGGAUAGCACAGCAGCAAGGUUGGGUCACGUAGUACCUAUAGACUCAUGUACCUAUUCCUCCUUUAUUCAUCUGAGACCCCAGAGCAUGGGGUGAUGCCAUCCACAUCCAAGCUGGGAUUUCUCAGUUAGAGCUUUUUGGAAACUCCUUCAUUAAUACAUCCAAAGGUUUAUCGAUAUCCUAGGAGGCUCUAAUUCCCAUGGAGUUGACCAUGAGAGCAUGUACUGCAUCCAUGCUACAGUCCUUCAAGCUUGGGUAAAGAUAGAGUCAGGGAGAUCUCCAGGACUCUCAUUUACAGCUUCUCGUCUGCUGAAGUGUUCUGGGAACGCCUUGUAUAUAUUUUGUG
rnacentral:lncRNA from 1 species